rnacentral:lncRNA from 1 species
CCCAAAACCCCGGAAUGCUACAUGGUUCCCCCUUAUCCUCUCAUUUCCCAAUAUAAAAAGAAGACAGAGUGACACUUUGAGCUUGAGCUUGUGAUUGCAAAUGUACUUUUGUCAUUUGGAGGGCAAAGCUAUUGCCCACGAUUGCCCUUCCAGAGCACUGGACCAGGAGGAGCUGCUGGUUGAAGGUACUGGAAGAAAGCAGAAAUAAAAAGCUCUGGAGGCUGGGGAUCAAGACGUUCCAAGAAACGUCUGGCACAUAUCAACGCAGUCCUUUGCAGAGGUACCUUGCUCAGGGCUGCACGCCUACUUUGGGAUCAAACCACAAAUGCCUACAGAUACCAGCCAGGUCAACCUAGUGACAAAAGAAGGAUACUGUGGGGAACUAGUGUUAGGGGCUGCAGAGAACAAGACAGCUUCUUGUCCAUCUCAACAGGACACCUGCUGCUGCUCUGGGUGAUUGACGAUAUUAAAAUGAGGGCAUCAUGAGGUGGCCCGUGGUUCCUGGAAUGUGGGAAAAGUAGUUUUCGUCCAAAACUUUAUGUUUAAAUAUUGGAAAUUCAGUUAAUUUAAAUAUCUUUGUUGCAGUUGAUAUUGGCUAAAAUAAAAUGAGUUUGGACUGGAUUCCACUGGAGGCCUCUCUCAUCUCUGCUUCUGUCCUAGGUAUUUGUUGGACCUCUUCCCUGGGUGGAGAAGACAGAGGCAUUUCAGGUGGCAAAACCAUAAGGAAUAUAAGUUUUGUCCUGGUGAGGUACAGAAAAGUAUGUUUCCUCUCUUUCUCAUUUGUCCUUUUCGCCUUCCUUGUACCAUCAGCCACAGAAUUCACAAAUGACACUCAUACGCCUUGUCCUCAGCUACAGAAGUACCCUGAACACAUAUACACAUAUAUACAUAUGCAUAUACACACACAUACACACGCACAAGCACACAUAUACACACACCCCACAGAAAUCUGGCAGGUGUGUCGACAGCCUGCUGACCUUUUGAAAUCCAUUAUCCUAGACUCGGGGGCCCAGCAGAAGCUCAUUUGAACAGGGAUCUAUGUUUAGCUGGUCACAUUUACACAGCACAUUUAUUUCUCCCGCGCAGUCUAAGAAGAAGACAGGGUGCAGUUCUCCCACAUCACAUAAGGACUUGUGUUUUCAUAAAAGAGGAAAACCAGGACUUCCCUGGUGGUCGGGUGGAUAGGGGUCCGCCUGCCAGUGUUCAAUCUCCGGUCCGGGAAGAUUCCCCAUGCUGGGGUGCAGAUAAACUCGAGUGCGGCAACUACUGAGCCCACACUCUUGAGCUCUCAAGCCACAACUCCUGAGCCUGGGAGCUGCAGCUGGAGCCUGUGCUUGGCAGCAAGAGAAGCCACCUCCAUGAGAAGCCCAUGCACCGCAACGGAGAGUAACUCCCACUUGCUGCCACUAGAGAAAGCAACGAAGACCUAGCACAACCACAUUAGUUAGUCAAUUGAUCAACCAUUAAAAAAUAAAAUAAAAGGGGAAAACCUCAGAGGCCGCUCCCUCUCUUGGGGUCAACAGCUGCUUGAGAAGGCCUGGGCUCUUCCCUGGUGCUCAUUAGUCACGUCUGCAUGCAGGCCUGGUACCAAGCGGAAGAAAGAACUCUCAGGAGACAAGGGUGGAAGAUGGAGGACUCAGCUUUCUUGGCAAACGUCUUAGAUGGUCCCCACUGCUGAGAGGCAGCAAAGGGCAGAUCGAGCACUGGACAGAGAGCCCUAAGAGAAGCCCAGGGUCCCAGGACAGGCGGCUUCCUCCUUUCACCUGCAUUCUGAAGCAGCUGUGAAAGCCAUACACGAUUUGUGAAAAUAUUUUUAAACGGUAAAAUGCUUUACAAGUAGAAGGCAUCGCUGCUUUAUUAUUUUUUUUAAUGAACAAAUGACCUGGAGGGAUGGUACGGGGAGGGAGGUGGGAGGGGGGUUCAGGAUGGGGAACACAUGUAUGCCCGUGGCAGAUUCAUGUUGAUGUGUGGCAGAACCAAUACAAUAUUGUAUAGUAAUUAGCCUCCAAUUGACAUAAAUAAAUUAAAAAAUAAUUUCCCGUUUUGAAACAUUUUGUUCACCAUUUUUAAUGGCCACAAGGUAGGAUUUGGUCUUAGGAAUGAGCACCCAAUUACCUGAACCACCAGGUACAUCCCCGCCGCCCACCCCGCCCUGGUCUGAAUUAUGUCUGGGAUCAAAGGGCUACUUUAAGAUCAAAAGACUCUACAAUCCAGAAACCCAGAAACUGGCUUUGCCUCACCCUUGGCCUCCUAGAGAGGACCAGUUGCUCCUCCAAACAGCAAGUCUUCUCUCCUCUUUCUUCCCCAGUGAGCUUGGCCUCCAUUUUUAUUUCCUUCCAAACCUGGAAAGUGAAGAAGGCACACAGCACUCUCCGGGCCAGUUCAGGAGGAAGGAGGGCAGACAGAUGAGCUGGCUUCUCCACGGUGGACACACAAGGGCU